rnacentral:rRNA from 1 species
UGAGUAAAGCGGCGCACGGGUGAGUAACACGUGGGUAAUCUGCCCUGAAGUGGGGAAUAACACCGGGAAACCGGUGCUAAUACCGCAUAUGAUCACGGUGUCUGCGGACACAGGGAUGAAAGGAGCAAUUCGCUUCAGGAGGAGCCCGCGGCUGAUUAGCUAGUUGGUGAGGUAAUGGCUCACCAAGGCUACGAUCAGUAUCCGGUCUGAGAGGACGGUCGGACACACUGGAACUGAGACACGGUCCAGACUCCUACGGGAGGCAGCAGUGGGGAAUUUUUCGCAAUGGGGGCAACCCUGACGAAGCAACGCCGCGUGGAUGAUGAAGUAUCUCGGUACGUAAAAUCCUUUCGACAGGGAAGAAACCGCAAGGUUGACGGUACCUGUAGAAGAAGCCCCGGCUAACUCCGUGCCAGCAGCCGCGGUAAUACGGGGGGGGCUAGCGUUGUUCGGAAUUACUGGGCGUAAAGGGCGCGUAGGCGGUCUGCUAAGUUGGAUGUGAAAACUCUGGGCUUAACCCAGAGCCUGCAUUCAAUACUGACAGGCUAGAGUUCUGGAGGGGAUAGCGGAAUUCCUGGUGUAGCGGUGAAAUGCGUAGAUAUCAGGAGGAACACCGGUGGCGAAGGCGGCUAUCUGGACAGAGUCUGACGCUGAGGCGCGAAAGCUAGGGGAGCAAACAGGA